UGGGGAAUUUUGGACAAUGGGCGAAAGCCUGAUCCAGCCAUGCCGCGUGAGUGAAGAAGGCCUUCGGGUUGUAAAGCUCUUUCGGACAGAAAGAAAUCGCACGGGUAAAUAAUUCGUGUGGAUGACGGUACUGUAAGAAGAAGCACCGGCUAACUACGUGCCAGCAGCCGCGGUAAUACGUAGGGUGCGAGCGUUAAUCGGAAUUACUGGGCGUAAAGCGUGCGCAGGCGGUUGCAUAAGACAGAUGUGAAAUCCCCGGGCUUAACCUGGGAACUGCGUUUGUGACUGUGUAACUGGAGUACGGCAGAGGGGGGUGGAAUUCCUGGUGUAGCAGUGAAAUGCGUAGAUAUCAGGAGGAACACCGAUGGCGAAGGCAGCCCCCUGGGCCUGUACUGACGCUCAUGCACGAAAGCGUGGGGAGCAAACA
rnacentral:rRNA from 1 species